rnacentral:rRNA from 1 species
UCCUGGGAUAACACUGACGUUCAUGCCCGAAAGCGUGGGUAGCAAACAGGAUUAGAUACCCUGGUAGUCCACGCCCUAAACGAUGUCGAUUAGCUGUUGGGCAGCAUGACUGCUUAGUAGCGAAGCUAACGCGUGAAAUCGACCGCCUGGGGAGUACGGUCGCAAGAUUAAAACUCAAAGGAAUUGACGGGGACCCGCACAAGCGGUGGAUGAUGUGGAUUAAUUCGAUGCAACGCGAAGAACCUUACCUGGUCUUGACAUGUACGGAAUCCUCCAGAGACGGAGGAGUGCCUUCGGGAGCCGUAACACAGGUGCUGCAUGGCUGUCGUCAGCUCGUGUCGUGAGAUGUUGGGUUAAGUCCCGCAACGAGCGCAACCCUUGUCAUUAGUUGCCAUCAUUAAGUUGGGCACUCUAAUGAGACUGCCGGUGACAAGCCGGAGGAAGGUGGGGAUGACGUCAAGUCCUCAUGGCCCUUAUGACCAGGGCUUCACACGUCAUACAAUGGUCGGUACAGAGGGUAGCCAAGCCGCGAGGUGGAGCCAAUCUCACAAAACCGAUCGUAGUCCGGAUUGCACUCUGCAACUCGAGUGCAUGAAGUCGGAAUCGCUAGUAAUCGCAGGUCAGCAUACUGCGGUGAAUACGUUCCCGGGUCUUGUACACACCGCCCGUCACACCAUGGGAGUGGGGGAUACCAGAAGUAGGUAGGGUAACCGCAAGGAGCCCGCUUACCACGGUAUGCUUCAUGACUGGGGUGAAGUCGUAACAAGGUAGCCGUAGGGGAACC